rfam:Flavonifractor plautii ATCC 29863 genomic scaffold Scfld230, whole genome shotgun sequence.
GCCGGAGUGGCGGAAUUGGCAGACGCCCGGGACUUAAAAUCCCGUGGGAGGAAUCCCGUGCCGGUUCGACCCCGGUCUCCGGCA